ACUCAAAUGAAUUGACGGGGAGGCACACAACCGGUGGAGCAUGUGGUUCAAUUCGAGACGAAGCGAAAGACCUCACCAGGGUUGGACAUGUUACCGUUUAUCCCGCUAGAAAUAAUGGGAGAUCCGCAAGGAUGGUAAUGAAGCUGCUGCAUGGCUGUCGUCAGCUCGUGCCGUGGGGUGUUGGCUUAAGUGCCAGAACGAGCGCAACCCCUGCCCUAUGUUAAAUUCUCAUAGGGGACCGCUAAGCCUUUCGGUUUGGAGGAAGGUGGGGACGACGUCAAGUCAGCACGGCGCUUAUGCCCUGGGCAACACACAUCCUACAAUGGCGAAAAACAAUGGGAUGCGAAGUCGUAAGGCGGAGCAAAUCCUCAGUAAAUUUCGCCCCAGUUCAGAUUGGGGUCUGCAACUCGACCCCAUGAAGUCGGAAUCGGUAGUAAUCGCAGAUCAGCAAGGCUGCGGUGAAUACGUUCUUGCCUCUUGUACACACCGCCCGU
rnacentral:rRNA from 1 species